UACGAGGGGGGCAAGCGUUGUUCGGAAUUACUGGGCGUAAAGGGCGCGUAGGUGGCCAACUAAGUCAGACGUGAAAUCCCUCGGCUUAACUGGGGAACUGCGUCUGAUACUGGAUGGCUUGAGUUUGGGAGAGGGAUGCGGAAUUCCAGGUGUAGCGGUGAAAUGCGUAGAUAUCUGGAGGAACACCGGUGGCGAAGGCGGCAUCCUGGACCAACACUGACACUGAGGAGCGAAAGCCAGGGGAGCGAACAGG
rnacentral:rRNA from 1 species